rnacentral:lncRNA from 1 species
AUUAUAGAGUCUGAGAUGCUCGAUAUUUUAUGGGAUAAAAGUUUUAUCGCUUGCGGCAUGCAUUCGAUUUUUCCUUAGAAAUUAAUUUGGGGAAACAUAAAUAUUUUAUUUAUUAUUUUAUUUUUGUCCACUCACUCUAACGUUAUUAAAUGUUUUCCCCUGGGCCCUUCGUUUUAAAUUGCCCAGUCUGCAGAGUUCGGGUUGAAUCUAGUAGGAGACGAGGCAUAGUCACCCGCAUUUCUGCCAGUUUUCGUCAGUAGGUUACCUGUUCAAUCUACUCGUGUUUUCUUUCUUCCGCUUGUGUUUAGUAGCUCUGAAUACUUUGGAAUUAUUGUAUAUUAUGUGUAGAAUUUCUGAAGGAUGAUUAUGUGAUGUUCGGAAGUGUUGAAUUAAGAGUGUAAUAUGAAAUUUUCGAGUUAGGGUUGUCCAUCUGCAAGGGAGAUUUGCUUAAUCUUUUCAGUAAAUUUUCCUUGGAGGUGGUCCCCGCACGACUUACUCCGGGUUUCAGGGUGAAAUUUGGGGCGGUGGGUCGUGUCAAUUGUGAUAUUGGUUUUGAUAUUGAUUAUGAUGGUGAUUUUGAAUGAUUAUUAUGAUAUUGAUGGUGAUGAUGAUAAGGUUUAUGUUGAUAAAAUGAUGAUGAUUAUUGUUGAUGAUUAUGAUGGUUUUUAAAUUUAAAAUAUUUUAUUUCUUUUGGUUGUUUUAAAAUAUAUGAGCUUGAUCGCCAACGGCUCAUAGGUAAGAUAAAACAAGUUUUCUUAUUAUAUGAUUAUUUUUAAGGUUCAUAAAAUUAUAAUAUUUUUGGUUGUUGAUAAGUUAUUCUUGUGGGAAUAACCAUGUCUUCUGCAUAUAAAUAUAUCCAUGUGAAAAUAUAUAAUUUUUUUAUGAUGUGUUUUUUGUGUUGUUGAUGAUGUUGAAUCAAAGAAUAUGCUAUUGUUUGUUUUUAAAAAUAAAUGAGCUUGAUCGUCAACGGCUCAUAGGUAAGAUAAAACAAGUAGAUAGUCAAACUGGGUUCCAAGCCCUUAAUCGGGUGAUUGGUUGC